rfam:Salmonella enterica subsp. enterica serovar Enteritidis str. LA5, WGS project CAGR02000000 data, contig: Scaffold49-Contig3
AGAUUAUCCAGGAGAUACACGAAUUAAUUCUGGCGGGUGAAAUGGAAGUCGCCAAAAGGAUGCUGCGCACGCUGAUUAAAGUCACGUUCGCUUAUCCUGCGAUUUUUGACGAGGUUCGGCAGGAAUGCCAAAUCAACAAUGCGCAUGUUGUCGCCGGAUGUGGAUCCGGGUAUCAAAGCGUUUAUAGCCGUUGUCAGAGCUGCAGAACAUCAGUCAGAAAAAGCAGCGGACCAGGGUAAAACCCACUGAGCCAAAAACCUGCGCGACGAACCGGUCACAGUGGCCGGUUUUUUU